GGCCAUACCCUGAUCUGGGCAGAUCCCACAUGCUGGGGACCGACAGGACCCUGCGGCACCACUGCGGAGCCUGCGCUCUGAAGCCCCAGCCCCACGCCGAGCCCACGUGCCGCCUCUGCCGCAGAGCGAGCGCCCCAGAGCCCGCGCCCCGCAACAGCAGAGAGGCUCACGCCGCAGCUCCCCGCAACAGGACCCAGCACAGCCAUAAACAAAUGAAAAUAAAAGACGCGCACUCUCGACACACAAGGAAAUGCAAACUCGGGCAGAAGCAACAGCCUCACUUUCAUCUGAGGAGCUGGCAAAACCCGAAAAGAGUAACACCCAGGGCCGGUAGAGAUUCGGAGAAAGAGACAUUCCUGCUCAUUGCUGGUAGGAACGCGGCCAGCUGCGACUUUUCUGGAAAGGAACUUGCUUCUCUGAAAACCACACUUGACAGCAAAGAGGAAGAAACUUCUGACAUGAGCUACGAGGCGGAUGAAUGUCCAGGAUGUUGGGCCAAGUGGACAAGCCAGAGCUGGGCGAGACACGCAGGGGGAUCCCAGUGCUGGUCGUCAUUGGAAACGGUCUCACUGCAUAUGGACUACCUGACAGCCUCAGAAGCAAGAGCUCACCUGUCUCGUCCGUACCAAUCCCCAGCAUCUGCACUCCCGAGAGACGCGUGUUGAAUGAAUGAAUGACUGAGAUCCUUCACGGCGUCUCCCUAACCGGAAGGAGAGCUCCAUCCUGGGUGGCCCACGGCGGCUUACGCGCUGCUGGAUGAGGGCUCUUCCUGGUUGCGGGGGGUCCAUGCAUUGGUGGUCUCUACUGACUGUCAGCCCUCUCCCUCACAGGUAUAUUCCGGGAUUGGACACAUAACUAACUUGCUUUGGCCGAUGGGGUGGCAGCAGAUGUGCUGGGCACAGAGCCUUGGUACAGAUUUGAAUGCUGGGGUCUGUCCUCUUGGGAUGCUGCCUCUUGAAGUCCUGAGUCACUCUGUGACGAGGUCCAGCUGCUGUGAUGGCAUGGAGGCACAAGUGUGCCAGUCAUCCCCUUGUUCCAGCCACCUCAGCUGACGCCCCAGAAGUCUGGGUGAAGAUGCUCUUUGGAACCUUCCACCCCAGAAGACACCUGGCAGGGUGGAAGAACCACCCAGCUGAGCCCAGCCCAGAGUGCAGAGCCAGGGGAAAUAUGCAGUCACGUUUCAAGCAAGUUUGACAUGCUGACUUUAGCAGUUCCGACUGAAAAUGCUGGCGCUGGAACAAGCUGGGGAAGUACCGGUGGCGUGAGCUUUCUGGGAACGGGGGCAAAAUGAACACCAGACACACUCGGCAUGCGUCGCUUACACGUGGAGAGACUGGAGCCAGUUAAGCCCCGAGCAGCAAAGCCAGAGCUGUGGCUCCGAGAGACGGG
ensembl:lncRNA